GAGAUGUGGGUGGGAAACGGUCCAGUGGAAACAAUCCAAGCCCAACAUCUCGGACACACCACAGCAAUAUGGGCCACUUGUACAUGCUACAUAGGUAGGAAACUGUUUAUGUAGGAAAUCAUAUACUGGGCUUUACCAUGGACUCUGAUACCAUAUUAGUGAUGGACCUAACUCACACUCAAAAGCUAGCUCAUGAGUGGAGGAUUUCCCAUACACAUAAAAACGUUGCAGAAUGGAAAGAUUUCACAACACAAAAGAUAUUAACGAGGCAGUUGUGUUUCUUGUUUUUUUAGUAUCAAUUUUUUUUGUUCGUUUAUCUCUAUAGAACCUUUAAUACAACUCUGUCUGGUUCCCUUAUGAAGAUCGAUAC
rnacentral:lncRNA from 1 species